rnacentral:rRNA from 1 species
CACGUAGGGUGCGAGCGUUGUCCGGAAUUAUUGGGCGUAAAGAGCUCGUAGGCGGUGUGUCGCGUCGGCCGUGAAAACCUGCAGCUUAACUGUGGGCGUGCGGUCGAUACGGGCAUCACUGGAGUUCGGCAGGGGAGACUGGAAUUCCUGGUGUAGCGGUGAAAUGCGCAGAUAUCAGGAGGAACACCGGUGGCGAAGGCGGGUCUCUGGGCCGAUACUGACGCUGAGGAGCGAAAGCGUGGGGAUCAAACAGG